AUAUUAUGUCCGCCGCGGCGACGUCGGGGCGGAAAGUGCUGAUUUCGAACAUAAUAUUAUUAUAUUAUAAUUUUUAACAUGCUUUCGAAGUCAUGCGAUAUCCACGCAGGUGCCAAAUUCAAAAAGGCAAUUUGUGAAAACUACACAACACGUGUGUGAGACGAAAAUAUUAGAGCAGGUUGAGGUGUAACAGCAUUUUAGGGGCUAUUGUAAUUCCCACUUCCAGGACUUUAUUAUACAUACAGCCGACAGCCCGAUGACCUACAUUUUUGUGUAUUCUGAUCUACCCUAUGAUGGCCGCGAAGUAACGAUCACGUCACCGUUUAUCAGAUUGCCCAGUUUGAAAGAGUCUCCAACAAUUUCAUCGGAUAGGUACGCCAUAAACCGUGGCAUAGCGCUGGGCCAGCAUCAUUUUGUCCGGAUCAAUAUCUACAAAAAUGACGUCCCAAUUAUUAGAAGCUAAUAAUAUAGUGUCUUUGUCGAACAGUCAGCUGUACGAAGUUUCCGCUGUGCCACAAAACGGGUCGACGCCGGUCGCUGAACAUGGGAAGUCCUCAAGUCCACCAAGCAUCGUAUUGAUGAAUCAACAAUACAUCUUACAUCUUACAUCUAACAUCUUACAUCUUACAACUUACAUCUAUCAUUGCAAUCUUAUAAUUAUUCACCUGAGUGCAUGUAA